rnacentral:misc_RNA from 1 species
CUAGAGCAAAGGAUAGGUGAUCGACUCUACUCCGGUAGGGUUGAGAGCCGUCGAACCUCUCGGAGAAGUUCGGUCCUGAACUCCACCCUUGAAUAAAUUACCUUUGUUGCUUUGGCGGGCCGCCUCGCGCCAGCGGCUUCGGCUGUUGAGUGCCCGCCAGAGGACCACAACUCUUGUUUUUAGUGAUGUCUGAGUACUAUAUAAUAGUUA